UUGUAGCUUCACGCUUUCUAAUUCCGACGGGAAUUUCAAUUCUCCAAUUUGUUUAUAUUUCGGAUGAUAUUUUUCUUCUAGGGUUUCGAAGGAACGUUUUCUUCUUUCCCGCCGAUUCAUCUCUCGUGAAUUCUCUCUCCCAUUGAAUUCAGUCAAUUCUUGACUUCUCGAACCUUAAACUAAAUCUCUAAUUCUGAACCUCCGAGAAAUAAAAUGUCUGGAA